rnacentral:rRNA from 1 species
CCUACGGGUGGCAGCAGUGGGGAAUAUUGGGCAAUGGAGGAAACUCUGACCCAGCAACGCCGCGUGAAUGAUGAAGGUCUUCGGAUUGUAAAGUUCUUUUCUAAGGGAAGAAGAAAGUGACGGUACCUUAGGAAUAAGCCUCGGCUAACUACGUGCCAGCAGCCGCGGUAAUACGUAGGAGGCGAGCGUUCUCCGGAGUUACUGGGUGUAAAGGGAGCGUAGACGGCAGCACAAGUCUGUAGUGAAAUCCCGGGGCUUAACCCCGGAACUGCUUUGGAUACUGUGCGGCUGGAGUGCAGGAGGGGUAAGCGGAAUGCCUAGUGUAGCGGUGAAAUGCGUAGAUAUUAGGAGGAACACCGGUGGCGAAGGCGGCUUACUGGACUGUAACUGACGUUGAGGCUCGAAAGCGUGGGGAGCAAACAGGAUUAGAUACCCUGGUAGUC